UACGUAGGGGGCAAGCGUUGUCCGGAAUCAUUGGGCGUAAAGAGCGUGUAGGCGGACUUAAAGGUCUGGUGUGAAAGCCCGGGGCUCAACCCCGGAGGGUCACUGGAAACCAUAAGUCUUGAAUCUGGAAGAGGAGAGUGGAAUUCCUGGUGUAGCGGUGGAAUACGCAGAUAUUGGAAAGACCACCGAUGGCGAAGGCACUCUACUGGGCCAUUACUGACACUGAGAGACGAAAGCUAGGGGAGCAAAUGGG
rnacentral:rRNA from 1 species